UACGGGGGGGCAAGCGUUGUUCGGAAUUACUGGGCGUAAAGGGCUCGUAGGCGGCCAACUAAGUCAGACGUGAAAUCCCUCGGCUUAACCGGGGAACUGCGUCUGAUACUGGAUGGCUCGAGUUUGGGAGAGGGAUGCGGAAUUCCAGGUGUAGCGGUGAAAUGCGUAGAUAUCUGGAGGAACACCGGUGGCGAAGGCGGCAUCCUGGACCAACACUGACGCUGAUGAGCGAAAGCCAGGGGAGCAAACGGG
rnacentral:rRNA from 1 species